UACGUAGGGCGCAAGCGUUGUCCGGAAUUAUUGGGCGUAAGAGCUCGUAGGCGGUCUGUCGCGUCUGCUGUGAAAACUCAGGGCUUAACCCUGAGCUUGCAGUGGGUACGGGCAGACGAGAGUGCGGUAGGGGAGAUCGGAAUUCCUGGUGUAGCGGUGAAAUGCGCAGAUAUCAGGAGGAACACCGGUGGCGAAGGCGGAUCUCUGGGCCGUAACUGACGCUGAGGAGCGGAAAGCAUGGGGAGCGAACAGG
rnacentral:rRNA from 1 species